UACGUAGGGCGCAAGCGUUAUCCGGAAUUAUUGGGCGUAAAGAGCUCGUAGGCGGUUUGUCGCGUCUGCUGUGAAAACCCGAGGCUCAACCUCGGGCCUGCAGUGGGGUACGGGCAGACUAGAGUGCGGUAGGGGAGAUUGGAAUUCCUGGUGUAGCGGUGGAAUGCGCAGAUAUCAGGAGGAACACCAAUGGCGAAGGCAGAUCUCUGGGCCGUAACUGACGCUGAGGAGCGAAAGCAUGGGGAGCGAACAGG
rnacentral:rRNA from 1 species